rnacentral:lncRNA from 1 species
CCCGGACGUAUGGUAAGCCUAAUUAAUAUGCGACAGAGAAAUUUAGUGACGGGCCGGACAAAUCUUGCUGGAGAGCCGCAUGUGGCCCGCGGGCCGAGGGUUGCCCAUCCCUAGUCUAAACUAUCUUCAUAAAAUAAUUAAAUUCUCUCAUUUGUUUAAAAAUCGAAAUAAUAUCAUUCUUAUCAUCUUACAUCUGGGUUAAUGUAAAUUUUCUUACUCUUAUUAAUAAAAAUUAUUGCUUAGGCAUUGAAUUUCCUGCAUAUAUCUGCGCACAAAGAAAUGACUGAUUUUAUAUAAGAUUAGAUCAUGUCCUUAAAAUUUAAUGUUGUUUAUUAAAUCAUGGUAAUUGAAUUAUAACACGAAAGUUCUUUUAAGCUUUCAUUAUAUAUAACUAAUUACAGUAUAUUAUAGAUCAUUAAAAGUGAUUUUGAAAUUUAAUAUUAUUUAGCCAUUGCAAUGCAAUUUGAGAAAUGAUGAAAAUUUUAUCAAUACAACGAAAAUGGAAUAAAAUACUUUUUAAAACUAAUUCAAAGAUAGAUGCAAAACAUUAUAUCUUUUUUUAUACGUGAGAAGAGAGCAUAUUUUGUUUGAAUUUAUUAUAAGUAUUCAUCGAAAAUAUAUUUGUUUAGAGUUUGUUUAAUUUAUAGUUAUACUCUGUUAAGUAGUUCUUUUAUUCCUUUUUUAAUCUUGAGAUGAUUACGUCAGUUAUGUAAAGUUAGACUUUGAUUUUUCAAAUAGUAUCUGGUGUUUCGAACUAAAACAUUCAUUACUUCAUUUCAUUCAAUUUUAAAUUAAAUUUAAUUAGUUAUAGAAAUAUGACCAGAUGAAGUUACGUUUAUUUCACAAAAAUUUAUCGUGUGGAUUUUUUUUCCUAGCAAUAUUUGAUAUUGUAAAGAGUUUCAGUAAUUAAACAGGUCAUAAUCGAAACUUGUAACUGCAUUCGAUUUUAUAUUUUUUGCUUUGUUCAUCUUUGAAAUAUCUUAAUUUAUUUCCGUUUUAAUUUGAAAUUUUUUCAAAAAUACGAAAAAUUUGGAGAGUAAUUUGUGAUAAAUUGAAAAGGGGCAUUUCUAUCCGCAACGUUUUGUCAUAUUAACCUAUGGGUGUUAGGUUUGAACCAUAGUGAAAUUUAAUCAUUGAAUAAUUCGUUUGUUGUCCAAAAUAUUCGAAAAAGAAUUCAUUUAAAAGUUUCUUUUGUCAGAAUGAAAAAUCUAUAUCCAAUUUUCCCUUAGAUUAUUUCCAAGUUAUUAAUACCGUCUGGUAAAAACCAAACGAAUCAAUCUUUUUUUUGAAUAUUGUAAAAGUGAAAAAUUGAUAACUUUGCAUUUAUGUAUUAUCGAAUGAAGAAAAUAUAAUAUUGUAAAAAUAAUUAACCUUUAAUCGUGUCACGUAUAAAUACGUUUAUUUAACAAACAAUCUUACCUUUAAUAAAAUACAUUUACAAUCAUUGAUUUAACUAAAAAGUACUACACAAAUGAUGGAAUGCAUUUACAAAUUGUAGUUUUCGUUUUCAUAAAAAAUUUUCAAAUUAAUAAUUAAAACUUUCUUAAAUUUAAGAACUUCGUCGCUUACACUUUCAACAUUAAUAAUUAGUUUUUAGAAAUUUUUGCUAAUAAAGCUAAUUUAAUUCUUCUGUAGAUGGCAGUGUGUCUUUAAUAAUACUGUUGGAAAAUUCUCUACAAAACAAUGAACCAAUCAAUCUUAUUUCGGUGUUUACAUAAUUAAACUUCUGAUAACGUUUGAUAUUCUUUUCGAGUUCUUUUCAAUCAAUAAAAUCUUUAUCAGAAGAUACAAAUGAACAUUUUAGUUUUCAUAUCUAGCAAUUAAUAUCUUAUCGAAUGAUGUUAUCAUCGAAUAUUUUAAAAAAACAUUUCACUCAACGUUUGAUAUCCAAAUGUCUUUUUCAAUCAAUUUUGCUUCCGAAUCGAUAAAUAAGAGGAACUGAAAGAAUUUUAUAUUAAAAAAAUAACAUACCAGUUCAGUUAUUCAGGUUUAUUUCAGAUAAGGUCUUUGAAAACUAUUGAAAUUUGUUUAUUUUAUGCCAGUUAAGUCUAUCUUUAACUUUGUGAAAGGUUGUGAAAUUCUUGAUAUAUGGAAACAAGUUCCCAAGUAAGGCCCCGUUCCCACUUACGGAAAAUAAUUACGUAUACAGAAUUUAUUUUCUUUUAUCGGAUGAUUUCCGUCCGUAAAAUUCAGUGUGUUCCCAUCUAAUCCAGAAAAGAAUUUCAAAAGCGCCAGCUAUUGGCAGUUAUGUUCUGACAUCACACAUUCAACAUGGAGGAUGAAUUCGAGGAAUGUUUUCGACUGUAUAGUGCUCAGUUUCUUUCACUGUGUGUUUUAUAUAAGAAAUAUAUUCAAAAUAAAAAGAGAAAACCUAGAGUUUGGACACGGAGAUUAUAUCGUUCUGGUGAUUCCCUUGGGUAUAAUGGAACAAUUAUUAAAGAACUGCGUUUUUACUAUAGGCAAUAUUCAGCUAUAAAUACUUUGAAUAAUCAAAGUAUUAUACUGUAUAUAGUGAAAAAGUCAGCGAUUUUACUUCACUAUAUAUAAUACUUUGAUUAUCCAGCUUAAAUCGUUGAUUAUUCAAAGUAUUUAUAG